rnacentral:rRNA from 1 species
CAGUCGCCGCGGGAAUACGUAGGGCGCAAGCGUUAUCCGGAAUUAUUGGGCGUAAAGAGCUCGUAGGCGGUUUGUCGCGUCUGCCGUGAAAGUCCGGGGCUCAACCCCGGAUCUGCGGUGGGUACGGGCAGACUAGAGUGAUGUAGGGGAGACUGGAAUUCCUGGUGUAGCGGUGAAAUGCGCAGAUAUCAGGAGGAACACCGAUGGCGAAGGCAGGUCUCUGGGCAUUAACUGACGCUGAGGAGCGAAAGCAUGGGGAGCGAACAGGAUUAGAUACCCCUGUAGUCCCUGUCUCUUAUAU